UUUCAGAUCCGGCUGUCGUGGUCGAAGCUCAGGUUUCUUUGGGAAGCCCCUAUCCACCUGGUCUUCAUUUACAGUUGAACUACAUCCAGGAUUGGUUGCAGCCUUAGAAGGAAGAAGGUAAGCAGUACCCAAAAACAUGAAAUGAGAGCGCUUGAACAGUGUAAAGUUUGUCGCAUAGACGGGGAUUGACCGCCUUUAUGUAUAUAUAAGUCUACAACUUCUCAGAUUUGACUGAAGACAAUUGUUUGGUGUUGGGAAUAGAGAAAUAUAUUCAAGGUAAGGCAGUUUUCCAAAAACGCAACAAGAAGUUCACAUUUGUUGCACAGAUUUGUGUCUCACAUGUAUGGAGUUGAAGGAAUAGUUAUAGAAAAAGGGUACAGAAUAUGUAAGGAUAUGGUAUGUUCCUGCUGAAAAAAAUUAGAUAGCCAAACAUCUUCCCCAGGAUUCGAUGCAGUAACCUUCUGAUAGAAAGAUGUACCCGUUGUGCAACGGGGAUAAGCUGGCUUGGUGACAGAUUGUCUAACAGGAAAAAGAAAAGGAAAAUGGCCCCAGGAAAGACAAGCUACAGUAGAUACAAGAUGCCAAGGACAAGAAUGUCUGUUAUUCAUGGAAACAUCAGAGUUCAGCAGGUUCUUGAAACAGGUAAUUUGAUAAUCUGUCAAUUAACAACAUCAUGGUAUAUGUUGGAUGCAUUAAUUUUAUCAGUAAGUGUGAUAACAAAUAUAAGGCAUUGAAUCAACUUUUAUUUCAUCUAUAUAAAUUGUUAAUAUUUUCAUACUGCAAUAUAACAUAGU